GACGAACGCUGGCGGCGUGCUUAACACAUGCCAGUCGAACGGAAAGGCCCUGCUUUUGUGGGGUGCUCGAGUGGCGAACGGGUGAGUAACACGUGAGUAACCUGCCCUUGACUUUGGGAUAACUUCAGGAAACUGGGGCUAAUACCGGAUAGGAGCUCCUGCUGCAUGGUGGGGGUUGGAAAGUUUCGGCGGUUGGGGAUGGACUCGCGGCUUAUCAGCUUGUUGGUGGGGUAGUGGCUUACCAAGGCUGUGACGGGUAGCCGGCCUGAGAGGGUGGCCGGCCACAAUGGGACUGAGAUACGGCCCAGACUCCUACGGGGGGCAGCAGGGGGGAAUAUUGCACAAUGGGCGGAAGCCUGAUGCAGCAACGCCGCGUGCGGGAUGACGGCCUUCGGGUUGUAAACCGCUUUCGCCUGUGACGAAGCGUGAGUGACGGUAAUGGGUAAAGAAGCACCGGCUAACUACGUG
rnacentral:rRNA from 1 species